UGAGAAUUAUGUUCCCACCAUAUUCUCAUACAAGGAGAAACCAGUGAAUGCUGAAAGGGAGAACAGAGCAGCCAGAAGAAAUAUUCGAAAGGACUUCAGAGAAGAAGAGUGUAAGCAGAAGGAGUAAGAGAAGAGACAGUUGAGUUUUUCUACCUUUAUUCAUCCAUCCUACACCAAGAGCAGAGACGAGGAACCCAGCAGUGAUACAGAGGGAUUGGUGAUUGAACCAGAUGAUGUUGACAUUGGGGCCAGACAUACAAGAGAUGCAGGUGUACAGAGUGAUCCAGACCCACUCUUACUAGAAAACCUGGCUCUGAAAUCUGAGACCAGAAGGUUGCAAGGUCUACAAUGGUCUGUUGACAAGAUAAAGGAUGAUGACACCAAG